UACGUAGGGGGCUAGCGUUGUUCGGAUUCAUUGGGCGUAAAGGGUGCGUAGGUGGCGCGCUAAGUCAGGUGUGAAAUCUCGGGGCUUAACUCCGAAACUGCAUUUGAUACUGGCGUGCUUGAGGACUGGAGAGGAGACUGGAAUUCAUGGUGUAGCAGUGAAAUGCGUAGAGAUCAUGAGGAAGACCAGUGGCGAAGGCGGGUCUCUGGACAGUUCCUGACACUGAGGCACGAAGGCCAGGGGAGCAAACGGG
rnacentral:rRNA from 1 species